rnacentral:rRNA from 1 species
UUGGUGAGGUAAAGGCUUACCAAGGCUUCGAUCAGUAGCUGGUCUGAGAGGACGACCAGCCACACUGGGACUGAGACACGGCCCAGACUCCUACGGGAGGCAGCAGUGGGGAAUUUUGGACAAUGGGGGAAACCCUGAUCCAGCCAUGCCGCGUGAGUGAAGAAGGCCUUCGGGUUGUAAAGCUCUUUCAGCCGGAACGAAACGGUCACGGUUAAUACCCGUGAUCACUGACGGUACCGGAAGAAGAAGCACCGGCUAACUACGUGCCAGCAGCCGCGGUAAUACGUAGGGUGCGAGCGUUAAUCGGAAUUACUGGGCGUAAAGCGUGCGCAGGCGGUUUUGUAAGUCAGAUGUGAAAUCCCCGGGCUCAACCUGGGAACUGCGUUUGAUUUCCCAGGCUAGA